rnacentral:rRNA from 1 species
GACGAACGCUGGCGGCGUGCUUAACACAUGCAAGUCGAACGGUGACCCAGGGCUUGCCCUGGUGAUCAGUGGCGAACGGGUGAGUAACACGUGGGCAACCUGCCCCUGACUUCGGGAUAACUCCUCGAAAGAGGAGCUAAUACCGGAUACGACCACUUCGGACAUCCGAUGGUGGUGGAAAGUUUUUCGGUCAGGGAUGGGCCCGCGGCCUAUCAGCUAGUUGGUGGGGUAAUGGCCUACCAAGGCGACGACGGGUAGCCGGCCUGAGAGGGCGACCGGCCACACUGGGACUGUGACACGGCCCAGACGCCUACGGGAGGCAGCAGUGGGGAAUAUUGCGCAAUGGGCGAAAGCCUGACGCAGCGACGCCGCGUGAGGGAUGG